ACCGAGGGGUGACAGGUGGUGCAUGGUUGUCGUCAGCUCGUGUCGUGAGAUGUUGGGUUAAGUCCCGCAACGAGCGCAACCCUCGACCUUAGUUGCCAGCAUUCAGUUGGGCACUCUAAGGUGACUGCCGGCUAAAAGUCGGAGGAAGGUGGGGAUGACGUCAAAUCAUCAUGCCCCUUAUGACCUGGGCUACACACGUGCUACAAUGGGCGGUACAAAGGGUCGCGAACCCGCGAGGGGGAGCCAAUCCCAAAAAGCCGCUCUCAGUUCGGAUUGCAGGCUGCAACUCGCCUGCAUGAAGCCGGAAUCGCUAGUAAUCGCGGAUCAGCAUGCCGCGGUGAAUACGUUCCCGGGCCUU
rnacentral:rRNA from 1 species